AAGUCGUAACAAGGUUUCCGUAGGUGAACCUGCGGAAGGAUCAUUAUCGUACAAUGGAGGUGCUGGGGUUGUCGCUGACCUUUGAAAGGGUCGUGCACGCCUUGGUGCUUUCACACAUAAUCCAUCUCACCCCUUUUGUGCAUCACCGCGUGGGGGCCCCUUUUAGCUAGUUCUGAAGGGGGCUUUCACGUUUAUACAAACGCACCCUUUUAAAUGCAAUAUGUAGAAUGUCUUACUUUUUUUGCGAUCACACGCAAUCAAUACAACUUUCAACAACGGAUCUCUUGGCUCUC
rnacentral:misc_RNA from 1 species